GUAAUGUAAAAUUGGCUUUAUUCCUGAUGAAAAUAUAUCACAUUCUUGAGGGCUGCUGCAUUUUUGUUUUGUACCGUUUUAACAGCUUCCCAGUAGACCAGCACAUGCCUCUGCCAUUUCCCCUGCAACUGCUCCUGCCCCCUCUGCUGCUCCUGCCUCCUCGGCUGCUCCUGGCACCCCGCGGCCCACCAUGAACUUAUCAAUGUUUACUAAAUCACGGUUUGGAGGUUCGCAAGGUGCCACAGCUAAGCCAAACGUGAAUGUGGUCAGGAAAGCUGUUCAACCCCCUUCCAGCCCUGCUACGGCCUCUGUGAGGACCACCUCCCCUUUCUCCCAGCCCCCUUCCAGCCC
ensembl:lncRNA